ACACGCAUGACACACUGCAUAUCAAUAAGCGGAGGAAAAGAAACUAACUAGGAUUCCCUCAGUAACGGCGAGUGAAGCGGGAAGAGCUCAAAUUUGAAAUCUUCAAGGUUUUACCUUGACGAAUUGUAGUUUAUAGAAGUGUUUUCUGUUAGUGGAGUGGCAAAAGUUCUUUGGAAUAGGACAUCAUAGAGGGUGAGAAUCCCGUAUUUGGUCAUUCCUCCUAGCGUUGUGAUACACUUUCAACGAGUCGGAUUGUUUGGGAAUGCAGUCCAAAAUGGGUGGUAAAUUUCAUCUAAAGCUAAAUAUUGGCGAGAGACCGAUAGCGAACAAGUACCGUGAGGGAAAGAUGAAAAGAACUUUGAAAAGAGAGUUAAACAGUACGUGAAAUUGUCAAAAGGGAAGCGUUUGACACCAGUGUUGUUUUUCCGAAAAUCAAUUACGAAUGUUUUAUUUUUGAGGAGUUAUGACUUCAUCGGCUUGCUCCUUUCUUUAUGAAACUUUCUUAAUGCACUUUUCGGUUAACAAGUCAACAUCAAUUUCUUUUGUUGUAAAAGGGUAUGAGGAAGGUGGCUUUCUUUUCGGAGAAAGUGUUUAUAGCCUUGUGCCUCUGCAAUCGGAGAGAUUGAGGUCUGCAGCGUAGAUCCUUCGGGGUUAGAUACGUUUGUGCUAAGUUAUAGCUUUUCAUAGACAACUUGUUGACUAUGUUUAGUCUUGUAGCUUACUCGCUGACGCUAUUUUACCUACGCUUAGGAUGUUGAAGAUGUAGCACAUCAUACACGCAUGACACACUGCAUAUCAAUAAGCGGAGGAAAAGGUCGGAACUGAACGACUGCUACUACGCUUAGGAUGUUGAUAGUCACAGCGUGUAC
rnacentral:rRNA from 1 species